GACGAACGCUGGCGGUGUGCUUAACACAUGCAAGUCGAACGGUAAGGCCCUUUCGGGGGUACACGAGUGGCGAACGGGUGAGUAACACGUGAGUAACCUGCCCUCAUCUCUGGGAUAACAGUCGGAAACGGUUUCUAAUACUGGAUAUGAGCUUGCAAGGCAUCUUUUGGGUUGGAAAGAUUUUUUUGGUUGGGGAUGGACUCGCGGCCUAUCAGCUUGUUGGUGAGGUAGUGGCUCACCAAGGCUUCGACGGGUAGCCGGCCUGGGAGGGCGACCGGCCACAUUGGGACUGAGAUACGGCCCAAACUCCUACGGGAGGCAGCAGUGGGGAAUAUUGCACAAUGGACGGAAGUCUGAUGCAGCAACGCCGCGUGCGGGAUGACGGCCUUCGGGUUGUAAACCGCUUUCAAUUGUGACGAAGCUUUUUGUGACGGUAGCAGUAGAAGAAGCACCGGCUAACUACGUG
rnacentral:rRNA from 1 species